rnacentral:pre_miRNA from 2 species
AGUGGGAUUGCUGGGUCAAAUGGUAAGUACAUGUUUAACUUUAGUAGGAACUGCCAAAUUGCUUUGCAGAGUGGCUAUAUCAUUUUGCAUUCCCACAAGCGAU